rnacentral:rRNA from 1 species
GGGUCAGUAGGUUGGUCGUGCCACCGGUACGUACUGGUCUCACUGAUUCCUCCUUCCUGAAGAACCGUAAUGCCAUUAAUUUGGUGUUGCGGGGAAACAGGACUGUUACUUUGAAAAAAUUAGAGUGUUUAAAGCAAGCUAACGCUUGAAUACAUUAGCUUGGGAUAAUGAAAUAGGACGAUCGAUCCUAUUUUGUUGGUUUCUAGGAUUGACGUA